rnacentral:rRNA from 1 species
UGAGAACGCAGCGAAAUGCGAUACGUAAUGUGAAUUGCAAAUUCAGUGAAUCAUCGAGUCUUUGAACGCACAUUGCGCCCCCUGGUAUUCCGGGGGGCAUGCCUGUCCGAGCGUCAUUGCUGCCCUCAAGCCCGGCUUGUGUGUUGGGCCCCGUCCUCCGAUUCCGGGGGACGGGCCCGAAAGGCAGCGGCGGCACCGCGUCCGGUCCUCGAGCGUAUGGGGCUUUGUCACCCGCUCUGUAGGCCCGGCCGGCGCUUGCCGAUCAACCCAAAUUUUUAUCCAGGUUGACCUCGGAUCAGGUAGGGAUACCCGCUGAACUUAAGCAUAUCAAUAAGCGGAGGAA